GCUCGUUGCCGGGGCGGGACGCGGGGCGGGCAGGCCUCCCGCGGGGUCGAGGGUGCGUGGGAAGCCCUGGGUUUGUCGUUGUUUUGUUGGGUUUUUUUUGUGAAACCUGGUUUGGUUUGUAGCGCAGAAAUCUUUUCCGCGUUAGUGACAAAAAGGAGAAUGUUCCCUCCUGGUUCGCCGUAGCAAUUACCGGGUCGGAGGCAGCGGGGGGCCCGCGGAGCCCUGCCCGGCGCGCUGCUGCCGCGGGAGCUGGAGUGCCUGAACGUGGGAGCAGGAGCUUGGGGUGCCCGGGGGCAGCCAGCGAGGAGAAACCGUGUAUACGUGCAGAAGCCUUUGCCAGCUAGACUUCUCUUCCCCUGCGUGUCUCCACGUGGCAGCAGCUAGCUGGGAUGAGGUGGGAGACCUUUCGGACCCUGAAGAUCCUGAGCACAGCUGCCUUACGCCUUGCCUGGCUUUCAGCUGCGCGAAAGGGAUACUUUUGCUUCUGUCACACAAAGGUGAAAAACAGAUGUCAAAGUGAGCACCUUGCUAGUUUCCUCAGUGUUUUUAGGAAAGAACUGAAGAAGCACAGGAGGAGACCCUGUGAAUCAGUCUUUGUACAAAGCUGUGCUGACUUCUUGUAUCUUCUAAAAGAUCAGGCGGGAGCAGAUGGCAACCCCUUCUGCUCUGCUUAUAGGCCCUUUUCGCUGUAACUGUGUCCAAAAGCAUAAGGAAGGCAGAAUAAGGUGAAAAAUCCUGAGAUUCCGGCAUUAAAUGUAUUCAGAAUAUAAGUGUAUACAGGACUCCUCAAUCUGCAGUUCUCACAGAAGUGGCUUGAGCCUUUUCUGUAAAGGAGAAACGGUAGGAACCAAUGCUUUCAAAGUACUUUUCAGCAAUCCUAGAUUCUUCAGGUUUUAUUCCUUUCUUGCAUAAAUAUGUACAUACUUUAGUGGAAGGUGAAGUAUUUUAGCUGAAGGGUAUCCGCAGCAUUUUGCUCAUUGAAAAUGUAUGUAAAAAAACCCAAAACCUGUGGAAGCACUUUACAAGACACUUGGUGUUUUGUUUUGAUUUUGUUUUAUAAAGCAAACAGUUAUUUUAUAGCCCAAGCUGUUUCAAGGAAAUUUACAUACUCUGUGGGUGGUCACAGUGUAAAUAACUAAAACACCAUAGAUGGGUAUGUGCUGAUACUGUCCUUAACUCUGUGGCCACUUAUUUUCCAUGAUUUGCCCUUUCUCAUUUUUGUUGACUUUCACUGUUUAUUCCUUAUUGUUCAGAGCUUGCCAUUCAAAGAGAGUUCUGAGUGUUGCAGGCAGUACAUUUUGCUUCAUACUGUUCUUCUCACACCACCUGGCUGGUAGCUAUUUGUAAGGACCUUCUAACCUUAAGGCUCUGUUGUUAGGAUUUUGUUUGCUUUUUAAAUAGAGAUAGGCAGGAAAGGGAAGAAAAAGGGUCUAUUUUCAGACCCUGUAUUUCAUUAAUUAUGCAAAAGCUGUUUCUGUCUUUGUAUCACAGCAAAGCAGUGAGUCCUGAAGGGAAGUGGAAAUAUCAGUGUCUGGUUAUAAGUCCAAGGGACUUACUGAAAAACAGAUAUUUACAUUUGCAGUAAUAGCAGGAAAGAGUUGCUAUUCCUGCAUAAGAUACUCAAUUUCAAGCAGUUUUCUCAAGCAAAGCCAUCAGCUAGAAUUAACUGUCUAUAGCUUGAAGAAACUGGUGCUCUUUCUGAACCCUCAUAGGGAAAUUGCUGUCAAUAUUUAUCUGAGGUUUUCCUCUGAAUUUGUCACUGUCAUCCUUAGGGUUCGAGGUGUGUUACCCACUGCUGAUAUCUGCCAGCCUUAUGGGAAGCUGCUCUUUUAUUUUUCCAUUUCAGGAUACCAGCUCAUAGCACCAAUUGACAUUUGAAAUUGACAUCACUGGUAUUGAUAUAAGCAAGUGUAACAAUUCGAAAGAUUUAAAUUAUAAAUACUAAUUUAAUAAACAGGGUUUUUUUUAUCCUUCUCAGGCUUGUCUUUGACAGAAAAGAUGUACCUCUUAUUGUUAUCUUCAAAUGUUGACCUCUACAGUAAUUUUUCAUACUUUCAUAGUUUGAAUUUCAGAGUUUAAAUAUUCACACAAUUUCAGAAAUAACAUUCUGCAAUUGAAAACUGAGUUAAAAGGUAAGGAAAACUUUCUGCCUAAAGUUAAUUUUUCUAGCACUACGAAUCAUAUAUUAAAGGUUUUUUCAAAGCCUGAA